UGCAGAUGAAUGUAAAAGCCUAUUUGCUAUCUGAGAGAUGUGGAUGACAUUUUAAACCACCAAGAUCGCUGAUGCA
rnacentral:snoRNA from 1 species